UAUGUACUCCUUCUGUCCGGAAAUACUCGUCGGAGGAAUGGAUGUAUCUAGAUGUAUUUAAGUUUUAGAUACAUUCAUUUUUAGACAUUUCUCCCACAAGUAUUUUCGGACAGAGGGAGUACUGA
rfam:Triticum aestivum genome assembly, contig: Triticum_aestivum_CS42_TGACv1_scaffold_129313_2BL